GCCCCGGUGGCUUAGUGGCUAUAGCGCCACCUUGGUAAGGUGGAGGUCGCGAGUUCAACUCUCGCUCGGGGCU
rnacentral:tRNA from 3 species